CAGCUGCAACUGCUGGGUUUCUGUGGCUAAGUAAAUGAAGUCAAGAAAAAGCAGCAGUUUUGGAAUGAAGAUAUGUGUUUCAUGACUCACGUUUGAUUGAAAGACAGAGUGAUAUCAAGGCCAGUUUGCUGUCAGCAUUUAAGUACGGAUUUUUCAUAAAACUCUGUUUUCUGGAGUUACUACCUCCUUAAAGAACGGAGCUUGAAAAAGGAUCUUUUAGGAAUGUUGUUAUGUGCUGUCAGGUCGGAACUGACUUAUAAUGGACUUAACUGGGCUUUCAAGAUGCCACUGUCUACAUAUGGAGCAGCCUGCCUUUUCAUUGGCUUCUCGGGCAUACGUAUCAUAAAGCCAAGAUGUUGCAUCUCUCCAGAGUACUCAUGAAAUUACAAUGAAAUUCAACAUCUAUAUUACUUAAAUUUUUAUGUUACACAGUAUUUUUGAAAGGCUAAGGCUGAAAUCCUAUGGUCCUUAGGAGCCAAAGUUUGAACUCUGCAUAAAGAAGCCGUUCAAUACCAUUUUAACUGCUGUGACUCCAAUCCUAUGGA